rnacentral:rRNA from 1 species
GACAGAGGGGGCAAGCGUUAUUCGGAAUUACUGGGCGUAAAGCGCGCGCAGGCGGCCUUUUAAGUCUGACGGUGAAAUGCCGGGGCUCAACCCCGUGCCCGCCGCGGAUACUGGGAGGCUGGAGACGAGUAGAGGCAAGCGGAAUUCCGGGUGUAGCGGUGGAAUGCGUAGAGAUCCGGAAGAACACCGGUGGCGAAGGCGGCCUGCUGGGCAGUAGCUGACGCUGAGGCGCGACAGCGUGGGGAGCAAACAGG